ACUAAACAGCUUCUUUUGUUCCCCUUUUUGCCCCUCCUCCUUCGUUGAUAGCCUUUCGUCCGCUGAGACAGAGCCCUCCCUUCGGUUCAUUUCCAACCAGCUGGUUGGGGGGCAGCCAUGGAAGCUUUGUGUUCGUUGCUGGGCAUGCAUUGGAGGUCGUCGAUUUUUGGUUGGGAGGUGAGCUGCAAAUCCAGCCGCAGCUUUGGCAUCGGGAGAUUUCGUUUUUUCCACAUCCUUCGACUGAGGCUUCUAUCUUUCUUGCUUACGAAUCUUUGCAUCGUUGCUCUUCAGAUGCUGGGUUCGCUUCUAACCAGGUUGGUUGGCCUGGUUGCGGGGCAAUGAUGGAAGAGGUCGGUCUACUGUUGGAGAUUAUCUGGAGGCUUCGAUUUUUAUAGGAGUGGCGUGCGUUGGUCUUCUUCUUCAGAUCGAACUCCAGCUUUCUCUCUGUUUCAGUCUCUUUCUCUCACUGAUCUUUGCUAGGGACUGGAAUGGAUACGCAGGAUACAUCUCCUUCAGUGUUGCUAUUCUUUGACAAGGAAAGAUUUAUAUUUAAUGCUGGAGAGUAUGAAUCACAGUUAGGCAGUCAUCCAAUUGCUUCAGGUAUGACUUAUGAAAAUUAAAAAGUUAUUCAAAUCUACGUGUUGUAUUGAAACUUUGGAAUUUUAUCUCAACAGAUUCAAUUGUCUCUCACCUCUCUGACAUAUAAGCAAUCACUGAAGCAAAGAAGCGAAGAUAACUUUCAGGUGAGCUUGGGUGGAAAUCCAAAUACGAGAAGCAGUCGUUCGCCCAAAUUGUUUAACCAUUCUUCGCUUUAAAGAGUCAAGACCUCCAUCAAAGAGAAGAAAAGUCAUGAAGAAAUUGCAAAACAAAGCCCAACGAAUUAAACAACGUGCUGCUCAAAACUAUUCAAAUUUUGCUAUUUUAAUAGCUCCUUCCCACUAUUAACAUCUCAAUGUAUAUACAAACAUGUGUACUAUUUUAACAUAACAAGUAGCUUAUAAAAUAUGUGAUUUCUUUUUUUUCCACUUAUACUUCCUUAGUUAAGCAUAAUGCUACGAGUUAAAUCUCAUUGUAUAUAUAAACAAUUUUAUUUUGUC